rnacentral:rRNA from 1 species
AUUGAACGCUGGCGGCAGGCCUAACACAUGCAAGUCGAACGAGUGGCGGACGGGUGAGUAAUGUCUGGGAAACUGCCUGAUGGAGGGGGAUAACUACUGGAAACGGUAGCUAAUACCGCAUACCAUCAGAUGUGCCCAGAUGGGAUUAGCUUGUUGGUGGGGUAACGGCUCACCAAGGCGACGAUCCCUAGCUGGUCUGAGAGGAUGACCAGCCACCGUUGAACUUGAGCACGGUCCAAGCCCCUACGGGAGGCAGCAGUUGGGAAUAGUGCACAAUUGGCGCAAGCCUGAUGCAGCCAUGCCGCGUGUAUGAAGAAGGCCUUCGGGUUGUAAAGUACUUUCAGCGGGGAGGCGUUACCCGCAGAAGAAGCACCGGCUAACUCCGUGCCAGCAGCCGCGGUAAUAC